GACGAACGCUGGCGGCGUGCUUAACACAUGCAAGUCGAACGGAAAGGCCCUGCUUUUGUGGGUUGCUCGAGUGGCGAACGGGUGAGUAACACGUGAGUAACCUGCCCUUGACUUUGGGAUAACUUCAGGAAACUGGGGCUAAUACCGGAUAGGAGCUCCUGCUGCAUGGUGGGGGUUGGAAAGUUUCGGCGGUUGGGGAUGGACUCGCGGCUUAUCAGCUUGUUGGUGGGGUAGUGGCUUACCAAGGCUUUGACGGGUAGCCGGGCUGGGAGGGUGACCGGCCAAAUUGGGACUGAGAUACGGCCCAGACUCCUACGGGAGGCAGCAGUGGGGAAUAUUGCACAAUGGGCGGAAGCCUGAUACAGCAACGCCGCGUGCGGGAUGACGGCCUUCGGGUUGUAAACCGCUUUCGCCUGUGACGAAGCGUGAGUGACGGUAAUGGGUGAAGAAGCACCGGCUAACUACGUG
rnacentral:rRNA from 1 species